AUGCCGUCAUGGAAUGAUGGAGAGGAGAGCAGCGAGGAGGAGCUGGUCGGCAUGGAGCUCGAGCAAAACUGGGCGAACCCUGACACCACCAUAGAUGCAUCCUUCUGUGGUAGAGCUGCAGAUGCAAGCAUCACAUGUAGACUGCACUUGGCCCCAUGCAUGAAAUAUGUUGCAUUUGAAGGAAAGGACACUGGGAGGAGGUUCUAUGGAUGUGAUGUUCCUAAGGAUGGUAUUGAUUGUGGAGUUGCUCAGUGGGUUGAUGCCCCAUGGCCUUCUAUUCUGCAAAGAUGUUUGGUGAAGAUAUGGGAGAUGUUUCAUGAGGAGAACAAUGGCAGAAUGGUUGACCAUGAGAAGUAUAAAAAAGAGUUGGAGAAGGUGCACAAGGAGUUGGAUACACUUGGUGAUCAGUACAGUCAGCUGGUUGAGGAUGUCACCAAGAUGUUUGAUUGGGCAGAUCAGAACAACAGGGUCAUCAGUGAUGAAGAGUUCAAGCAGAAGCAGGUGGAUGUGGACAAGGACAUGGAGAAGCUAGCUAUCAACAAGGAGAAGGACAGUGAUGGCAUUGGCAAGAUGAAGGAGAUGGAGAAACUAGCUCAGGAGCUCAAGGAGAUGAAGUGCAUUUAUAGAUCUCAGGGAGAGAUCAUUAGGAACACCAGGAAGGAGAGGGAUGGCUUCAAGAAAGAGAGGGACUGGCUGAUAGAGGAGAAGAAGAGGCUGGAGUUUCUGGUGGGUGAUCUUAUGAAAGCAGGUCAUGGCAACAAGGACAAGCUUGAGAAGAUCAAGUCAAUCUUUUCUGAGUGA
rnacentral:rRNA from 1 species